rnacentral:rRNA from 1 species
CAGUCGCCACGGGAAUACGAAGGGUGCAAGCGUUAAUCGGAAUUACUGGGCGUAAAGCGUGCGUAGGCGGUUUGUUAAGUCUGUUGUGAAAUCCCCGGGCUCAACCUGGGAAUGGCAAUGGAUACUGGCAAGCUAGAGUGUGUCAGAGGAUGGUGGAAUUCCCGGUGUAGCGGUGAAAUGCGUAGAGAUCGGGAGGAACAUCAGUGGCGAAGGCGGCCAUCUGGGACAACACUGACGCUGAGGCACGAAAGCGUGGGGAGCAAACAGGAAUAGAUACCCCCGUAGUCCCUGUCUCUUAUAC